UGCAAUAUUAGUGUGCAGGAGGGG
rnacentral:siRNA from 1 species